rnacentral:rRNA from 1 species
AAGAUGAAAAGCACUUUGGAAAGAGAGUUAAAAAGCACGUGAAAUUGUUGAAAGGGAAGCGCUUGCGACCAGACCUGCCCGUGGGCGAUCAACCGCCGUUCUCGGUGGUGCACUCGUCGGCGAGCAGGCCAGCAUCGGUUUGGGCGGUCGGACAAAGGCCUUGGGAAUGUAGCUCCCCUCGGGGAGUCCUUAUAGCCCUCGGUGCAAUGCGGCCAGCCCGGAUCRAGGACCGCGCUUCGGCUAGGAUGCUGGCGUAAUAGUUGCAAGCGACCCGUCUUGAAACACGGACCAAGGAGUCUAACAUCUAUGCGAGUGUUUGGGUGUCAAACCCAUGCGCGCAAUGAAAGUGAACGGAGGUGAGAACCCGUUAGGGUGCAUCAUCGACCGAUCCUGAUGUCUUCGGAUGGAUUUGAGUACGAGCAUAAAUGUUGGGACCCGAAAGAUGGUGAACUAUGCCUGAAUAGGGUGAAGCCAGAGGAAACUCUGGUGGGAGGCUC